rnacentral:rRNA from 1 species
AGUGAACGCUGGCGGCGUGCCUAAUACAUGCAAGUCGAACGAAGUGGCGCACGGGUGAGUAAUAUAUAGUUAAUCUGCCCUACACAGAGGAACAACAGUUGGAAACGGCUGCUAAUACUUCCUAGUGUAGGAUGAGACUAUAUCGUAUCAGCUAGUUGGUAAGGUAAUGGCUUAUCAAGGCUAUGACGCGUAACUGGUCUGAGAGGAUGAGCAGUCACAUUCGAACUGAGGCACGGUCCAGACACCGACGGGAGGGAGCAGUAAGGAAUACUGCGCAAUGGGGGAAACCCUGACGCAGCAACGCGGCGUAGAGGAUGACACUUAUCGGAGCGUAAACUCCUUUUAUCAGGAAAGCGGUACCUGAUGAAUAAGCACCGGCUAACUCCGUGCCAGCCGCCGCGGUAAUAC